rnacentral:rRNA from 1 species
AGAGUUUGAUCCUGGCUCAGGAUGAACGCUAGCGGUAGGCAUAACACAUGCAAGUCGAGGGGCAGCAUAAUUGAAGCUUGCUUUGAUUGAUGGCGACCGGCGGAUGGGUGAGUAACGCGUAUGCAACCUGGCUUAUACAGGAGGAUAGACACUGGAAACGGUGCGUAAUACUGCGUAAUGUUAUCGGGAGGCAUCUCUUGAUAAAGAAAGAUUUCGAUUGGUAUAAGAUGGGCAUGCGUAGGAUUAGCUAGAUGGUGAGGUAAUGGCUUACCAUGGCGACGAUCUUUAGGGGUUCUGAGAGGAAGGUCCCCCACAUUGCAACUGAGAACGGUGCAAACUCCUACGGGAGGCAGCAGUGAGGAAUAUUGGUCAAUGGGCGGAAGCCUGAACCAGCCAUACCGCGUGCAGGAAGGCGGCCUUAUGGGUUGUAAACUGCUUUUAUAUUGGGAUAAAGGGCUUGUCGAGGACAAGCAAUUGAAGGUACAGUAUGAAUAAGUAUCGGCUAACUCCGUGCCAGCAGCCGCGGUAAUACGGAGGAUACGAGCGUUAUCCGGAUUUAUUGGGUUUAAAGGGUGCGUAGGCGGACAUUUAGGUCUAUGGUGAAAUCGUUGUGCUCAACACAAUUCAGCUGUAGAAACCGAGUGACUAGAAUAUAGGUGGCGCAGGCGGAAUAAAGCAUGUAGAGGUGACAUUCAUAGAUAUGCUUUAGAACACCGAUCGCGAAGGCGGCUUGCGAAGGUAUGAUUGACGCUAAUGCACGAAAGCGUGGGUAUCGAACAGAAUUAGAUACUCUGGUAGUCCACGCUGUAAACGAUGAUAACUAUAUGUUGGCGAUAGACGGCCAGUGUAGCAGCGAAAGCGAUAAGUUAUCCACCUGGGGAGUACGAUCGCAAGGUUGAAACUCAAAGGAAUUGACGGGGGCCCGCACAAGCGGAGGAGCAUGUGGUUUAAUUCGAUGAUACGCGAGGAACCUUACCCGGGCUUGAACGUGAGAUGGAUAUCUAAGAGAUUAGGUAGUUAUUUAUAACGUCUUGCGAGGUGCUGCAUGGUUGUCGUCAGCUCGUGCCGUGAGGUGUCAGGUUAAGUCCUAUAACGAGCGCAACCCUUGUCAUUAGUUACCAGCAUGUAGCGGUGGGGACUCUAAUGAUACUGCCGGCGUAAGCCGCGAGGAAGGGGGGGAUGACGUCAAAUCAGCACGGCCCUUACGUCCGGGGCGACACACGUGCUACAAUGGCCAUUACAGAGGGCAGUUACCUGGUGACAGGAUACGAAUCUCUAAAGGUGGUCUUAGUACGGAUUGGAGUCUGCAACUCGACUCCAUGAAGUUGGAUUCGCUAGUAAUCGCAGAUCAGCCAUGCUGCGGUGAAUACGUUCCCGGGCCUUGUACACACCGCCCGUCAAGCCAUGGGAGUUGGUGGUACCUAAAGAGCGUAACCGCGAGGAGCGUUUAAGGGUAAUGCUAAUAACUGGGGCUAAGUCGUAACAAGGUAGCCGUACCGGAAGGUGUGGCUGGAACACCUCCUU